UACAGCCAUAUCGCAUUGAAACACUAGUUCUUGUAUGAUCACCAAAGUUAAGCAACAUUGAGUUUGGUCUGCACCUGGAUGGGUUACUGCUUGGGAAUACCAGGUGCUGUAAG
rnacentral:rRNA from 1 species